UAUAAUCAAAUAAAAAUGAAAAGCCCCAUGAGUUUGUAAAAACCUUAUCAGCAAAUCAUUUUGGUGUGAAUUACCAACUAUAAAUCCCAAUUAUAUUUCUCCUUAUUGAUAUCUUUAAUUGGUAUUUUCAUGUGUUUAUUGGUUUUUCAAAAUCGAGUACCACUUUCUCACUUAAUUUUAUUUUCUUAAUUGAUUUAUAUAAUUGGUUUUCCACAUGUUUAUUAGUGUUCACGAUCCAUCACUUUCAUUGAUUUCUUUAAUUUAUUUUGGUGGUUUUUCAUAUAACAGGGGUAUUUGUUUAGUGGUGGUUUUCCCAUAACAAAUUAUUGUUUUUUUAAAAAAAUCAUUCUUGAGGUAUAUGUUUGUGUGGUGUAAAUUUGAUUCCAUUGAAGUGUGUUAUAUGCUGAAUUUAUAUGUGAAACAUUCCUUGCCAGUAGAAUCGUUGUUGGUUGAUAUUGUUGUAUCGAUCGGUAAGUUGUUUGGUUUUUCUUGGUGGUAAGUUGUUUCAGGAAUUGUUGAAACCAAAACUUAUGCAUCUUAAUUUUCAUCGUCAUCUUCCUCUUUCAUGUUUUCAAACUCUGUUUUGAACUCUACUAAUUGUCUUCUGUCUUGAGGUAUUCGUUUGUGUAGUCAUGCAGUGUGUCUUCUUUCUUUGAUUGGUGCAUGUGUUAUCUCUUUAAUAUAUACGGUUAAAUAACCUUCACGUAUAAUGAUAUCCCGACACUUUGAAUCUGGAAGUAUUUAUCUAAGAUUUUCCCAGUUAUAUGCAUUUCUAUCCGCAUCCGUUUUUUAUAUAUUUGAGAUGUAUGAAUGUGAAUUUAGUGAUUUGUCUAUUGUAUGCUUAAAUACAAUGUGGUUAUUAUGAAAUCUUAAAUAUGGUAUGAUAUGUUUUUCUGCCUCUAAGGAUCUAUAUAAGGACGUAUAUAAUAACGUGAGCCAGGAUUUGGCCAAUUCUUGGAACAGAGACCAACUCCUCCGUUUAAAUGAAGACCGUCGAGCGGACUUAGUCCUACAACCCAUGCUGAUGGGUGAAACCAAUUUAAUGCAAGGUGUUCGGUGAACAAGAGACAUGGUAGAUUGAAUGAUAAAAGGUGCAAGAAAAUUGGUGAUGACAAUCAUGUGCUGAAAGUCUCCAUUACUCGGGCUAGCUAAAAUGAACUAAGAAAGAUAGUGUAGAUAUGUUGUAUGUUGGGUUUAUAUAUGUCAAACAAAACUAAAGCAUUUGGAAAAUACUUCAAUUGAUGCUACAAGUAACAAGCCUACAACGUAUGCAGAAUAUUAUGAGCUUAAACAUGACUUGGUUUUGAAGAUUUAGCAUUCAGGUUCAAUAUAUUGUAUGGUUCAUUACGAAUUUAAGAUAGUGCUGAAUGAAACUUCGGUUAUGAUAUUGGUAUUUUGAGACCUAUGUAUAUUGUUAUCAAAUUCCAAUAAUCAACACUACAUAUAGCAUAAUUAUUUGUAAAUAUUGUUGUUAACAAAAGUUUUUAUAAUAAGUCCGGGUUGAUUA